CCUCUGCAAGGGAGCAGGUCAAGGGAACCUCCAGGGCCCGUGCCCGGUGGUCUUAAAGCUUUAGAAGGAGCAUGCUGUGUGGCACCCAGAGGGGCGAGUGGGCAGCCUGGGGGCUCUGGGUGAGGAUGGACCUGAGGAGAGAGGUAUCUGCUGUGUACCUACUGUAUUCUGGGCUUUAACCCAGUCUCCAGCACAACUCCAGGAACCCACGGGGGCCAGAGGGCAGCACCCACGUUGGAUUCCGGUGGAAGGGACCGGGGCACCACGUGGUAACAUGGGCAAACAAGGUCAUCGCGUCCUUCGUUAUUGUAGUCAGAGGUCCCAGCACAGAAACCAGGACCUGCAGGUGGAUGGAACACAGUUGGCACCGUUUGGGGAAAGUGAGUCAAGGGCCAAAGGCAAGGGUUGAGUCCUUGUGUUUCCUUGAACACUUUUUUUCUGUUUAAGGCACUCCUUCUGGGCUGCUCCCCAGACUCCCAGGGCCUGGUGGCAACGUGGUCACAUGCCAGUGCGCUGGGCACGUGGAUGAUGCUGCGCAGGGAUGUAACAUCUUCCGAGAUGGCCAGCUUUGCCAUGAGGAUCAGAAGCCUGCUGAAGGCCCAGAACAGGGCAUCUUAACAAUGGCCCCCAAACUCUACCUGGAAGCCCCUUGGCUUCCAGGGGUGGGGUGGGGGAGGAAACGCUCGGAGCCCAGCAGGGGGCAGAAAAACAGAAGCCCGGUACCCUGGGUCCCAGCUCUCCCCAGCCUGGGGUGGACGCUCCCCUGCUUUGUCUCCCUCAGACAUUCGGUUUCUGAGUCAGAGCACAUGCCAAGCAAGGGUUCUGCUGCGAAAAGAAAAAAACAGGUUUGAAAGCCACCAAUUUAAAUUAAUACAGCGAUAACAUUUAAUUGCAUUAAACGGUUUUUUCCCCAUCAGUUGUUUUGGCAUUAGAACAUGACACUUUGUCGGGAGAGCUGGGUCAGCGCUCGGCUCUUUAAAGCGAAAGAACGCUCUGGUUGCCGUUUCCCAGCUCUGAGGGACGCUCCUGGCCUCAGUUUCCCCAUCUAUGAGAUUGAGAUGCUCUCGGCUUCACCUUCCAUGCGGAGCAAGGCACCAAGGAGUUUAGGGCAAUGAGCGAGUUUGCAGGCAGUGGAAGCAAGGAAAGCCGAGAUGCCAGGGUGUGGUGAUUAAUCUGAGAACACGCAGCUCGCUGGAAGGGUGAGGGGUCAAGCCGCGCUCACUGCCUGUGUCUGGACGGGGAGACAGCAGGCCGAGGACGCCGUGUUUAUCUGCCGAAUGCAUGUGCCAAACCCAGCUUCGGGGUCGUUUGCGUUGUUCCUGACCACCCAACAAACCUGUAAGCCCAGGGACCAGGUGAGGGCUUGAGGCCAAACCACGCCCCCUGUUUC